CUCUUCAUUAUCUCUACUUGAACUUGGCAUAACAUUUGAGAGAGAGCAUAAAGAGGUAAUCAAGUAGGAGCUUUCCAUAACUCUUGCGAAAUUUUUUGUGGCUUCCGGCGGAUCCUUUCUCGGCAUAUACAUUGUCAUUCCCGUGGACGACGGUGCAUGAUCCGGUGGCACAAAUCUGAGCUCAACAUCAAGAGGUGGUGUUGAAGAAGUUUGGGUCGUUUUUGGUUCGAUUUUACACUUUGCGAGUUUAUUAUUCCGCAUUGUAGUUGUAAUAAUCUUUUGUAUACUACACUUUAAACUCUACAAAGAUUUUAUCCCAUUAACUUACAAAAAGAAAAACAUUAGAAACUUAGAAACUGAUUGUUCAAAGCAGUGAAAAGUGGGCAAAUUGUUGUCAUAAAAGGGAAUUUCAAUUCAUUUAAUUUAUUCCUACAACAGUGUGAGAUUCUCGCACCGGUUGUCUCCUGAAUGUUAAGGUUGAAAUUCGCAGGGAGACUAACGUCAACAAUGUAACAAGAUCUUUGGGAGAACCAUGUCAUGCUCGACUAUGUGUCACCCUUUGUGCUGAACUAGACAUCUUUUUGGUGCGUUGGCCUUUGUGUAUGUUUAUCUUGGCGAGCUCUUCAAUUUGACCUAGUUGAGUGUAUUGGUAAUGUGUUUGACAUCGAUUCAUUAAUUUAUAGAUCUUUUCGUAUUGACGAUUUGGCAAAAUAUGUAUUCAAAAACAUUUUUUUUAAUUAAUAUUUGGCUUUAUUAAUUAAACAAAUUUGAAUUUUUAUUAGUGAAUAAUCUUGAGAAGUUUAAGUGAAUUUUGUUUGUUGCACUAGUUAACUCAUUGAGUUCGUGCAUUGAUUAGAACUAGCUUGACUUACAAUAUUACCGUAUCAAUUAGGUGUGGAUUCUGUCUUCGUAUGAACACCUACCUUGUGUAAUGUGAGUUUUGGUAUAAAGAAUUGGUUUG
rnacentral:lncRNA from 1 species